UUCGCCUUCAUGAAGCCGGAAUUGCUAGUAAUGGCAGGUCAGCAUACUGCCGUGAAUACGUUCCCGGGCCUUGUACACACCGCCCGUCACACCAUGAGAGUUGGGAAUACCCGAAGCCUGUGAGCUAACUUUUAGAGGCAGCAGUCGAAGGUAGAAUCAAUGAUUGGGGUGAAGUCGUAACAAGGUAAC
rnacentral:rRNA from 1 species